UCAGGAGCUGAAGCAGGAGGAUCACUUGAGCCUGGGAGGUUGAGGCUGUAAGUGACCCAUCAUCAUGUUACUACAUUCCAGCCUGGGUGACAGUGAGAUGCUGUCUUUAAAAAAGAGAUAAACAUGGCAAGAGGAGAUUGGGGCAGGGAUGAAGAGUUGGGAAUGGGAGGGGAGGAUGAAGAGUUCAAUUCAAAACCUGUCAAGUUUGAUAUAUCUUGAUACAUUUAAGCAGAAAUCUGAAGUGGGGAAUUGACUAUGUGGUUGUGACACUCAGAGGGCAGUCUCUUAGCUAAAGACAAAUUUGGGAACCAUCAGUAUACAGAUAGUAAUUGAAGCUAGAAUCGUGGAUCAGACUCUGUUGUGGGAAGACAGGAAGAAAAUGGAACUUGAGAAGAGGAUCAAGGACAGAGCCCUCCAGCAACUCCCAACAUUUGUGGGUGGAGGAGAAGCAGGCAAGCAGGUUGAGAGGCAGCAGCCAGGGAGGUAAGAGAAAAGCAGCAGUCAGGAAGAUGUGGUGUCCAGGUAUUAUGGAAACGAACCAAAACAUUUUCAAGCAGGAAGGAAUCGUCAGCUAGGUCAAAUGACGCCAAGAGUAGGCAAGGACUAAAGAAUGCCACAUGGGGUAGGCGCCGUGGCUCACACCUAUAGUCCCAGCACUUUGGGAGAUUGAGGCAAGAGGAUCACUUGAGCCCAGGAGUACAAGACCAGCCUGGGCAACAAAGUGAGACCCCGUAUCUACAAAAUAUAAAAAUAAAUUUAAAAAAAAGAAUACCAUGUGGACAGUCCUUAGUAGUCUUUCAACAGUUUCAGUAGGGGGUGUGAGUGGAAGCCUGUUGGGUAGGUUGAGGUGAAAAGGAUGUGAGAGAGUGAAUGUAGACACCAUUUCAAGAGAUUUGGCUGGAAUGGAAAUAGAGUGAGAACUGAGGAAGAAGAUGGAAUCACUAGAAAAAGGGGCUUGUUUAGAAUGAGUAAGCAACGCUGAGGAAAGAGAUCAUAGGGUUCUGAGAUUGCAGGAGAGAAUAACAUCCAAGACAUCGCAAGAGCAUGGGCUUUAGUUAAAAAGAUGCAGCUAUGUUGUGGCUCUCAGCUUGCUGCCCAACAUUGCCUGAUUGAAGUCACACAUUCGAUGUGAAGUAUUUAAACCCGAAAAGGCUACAGGCAAAACGCAAGCUACCAUGGUAUUUAUCAAGCUACUUUCUCACUCUCUCGCUCGAGUACUUUUUCUGUCCUUCCUUCCCCCUCUCAUCACCUGUUGGUUUUGCUCCCCUCUCCCUGUUCCUCAUUUUCUCUUCCUGCAACUGGCUUCCUAAAUACAGCCAGGGAAGAUGGUCGUCAACAGCCCCAACUUCCCACAUUCCCAGCUUAAUAGCCCCAGCUGAACACGGAUCUUUCCAAUCAGCAUCUCAAAAUUAAUCUCCAGGAAAACUCUGAUUAUCUCCAUCCUAUGUUAUGUGACAUGAGGUCAGGCAGGAAGCCACACAUGGUACAGGCUCUUUGUAAGAAGGAACUGUUUGCCAAUAUCAAUUUCUCCUAUGUAACAACUUUUAUCCAGAGCUAGUUCUGACCCUGAAAGCGGGGGAGGAAGAGGUUUCCUCUCUCUACACAGGUGGGAUCACCCUGAUUGCUAGUGCCCUGUAUGUGAUACAUUACAGCAACUAUUGCAGUACAGAUAUAGCUGUAUUAUAGGUCCUUUGUAGACUAGAGGGUGUUAUUCCAUGAUCACUGUUACUGUUUCUUGUCUUAACAGUAUAACUUUAGACUUCUCUGUAUAUAAUUCCUAAUACAUUAUCGAAAUGCUUUUUAAAUUAAUUGGUUGCUUGAUUGAAUCACUGCCAUUUUUAAAAUUUCUUAAGGAACAAUUUCAUAUAACUCCAAUUCCAUUUAAUAGAAUUAGAGAAUUUAGAGAAUAACACAGCCAGGUCAAAUGUGACCCCAUAUUACUGUAAAAUGGCAUAGGCUUUGAAGGGCAAUUUGACAGUGUACAUCAAAAGCUUCAAAGUAAAAUGAGUUCUGUGCUUGAAGAACCAGUUUAGCCAUAGUGGAAUGGCUGAGUAAAUUACAGAAUAGCGACUUAAUGGAAUAUUAUGUAAUUACUAAAAUUAUACAUGAUAAACAACAUAGAAAAAAACAGUAAAUAACAUUUGAAAACUAGAGUAAGAAAUAUAAAUAUGCUAUGAAGUACAAAAAAUAUGUAUACCAAAGGACAAAGAAAGGAAUGCAACACAGGUAAAUGAAAACAAUUUUUAGAGCAUUGUACAAAUAAUAAAUGUACUUACUUUAAAGGACUCUGAAGAUAAAAUAAUUCACAUAAGGCAUUUAAUACCUUGCCAGGCACGUGUUACGCUUCAGCUGUUACCUUGGCUUCUAUAUUAUAAUUUUCUGAGCAUCCACCUGAAGGCACUUGACAAACAUUAUUCAUUUGAUCCUCAUGACAACCAAAUGAAGUGUUGUCAUUAUCUCUAUUUCACAAAUAAGGAAACCGAGGGUUGAAAGGUUAAGUGAAUUGGAUCACAUAGCUAAUACAUGGUAGAGCUGAGAUUUGACCAGUUUUUGGAAAGACACAUAUGUAAGCUCCAUCCCAGCAUGAUUCUAAUGCAUAGUAGGAUUGAAAACUACCACUAUUACAUACUGAGUACGAAGGGGAAGAAGAUUGAGACUCUCAGCAAGCAGGAGAUAGUGGUUUGCAGGGCAGGGGUCCUAGCAGUGCCUGUCUAUAUCCAUUUCUGAGUAUGCAAAGGUACAUCUAAAUUAGUGGGGCCCCAAUGUCCUCCUCAUGGGACAAAAAGAACUGAAAAGGUAAGAGAUUUCAAAGAUAUAGUAACAUUUCUCAGCAUGAAAGAAAGACAUUGGUCUCAUAUUGAAAAUGAUGCAGUGUUUAGGCAGAAUGAGUAAAGAAAGACCCAUAACUAGACACAUCAUUGUGAGGUUUCUGGACUCCUUGAUGGAUAAAGGAAAGAUCUUCAAUGACUUGGAGGGAGAAACAGGCAAAGGGAGGGUGGGGUGUUACAGAGGGAUGAGAUCAGAGAGUGAGGACUUCAGUCAGCCAAAGGGUCCUGAUAGCCAGUCUGUUAGGGUGUCAGUGGCUGCACAGCUCAUGAUGAGAGAGAGAAUAAAGGGAAGGAAGCCCAAAGGGGAAAAGUCCUAAGAAGGCAGGCAGAUCCAGGAGGCAGGCAGUUCUUCUCGCCCUUCCUUGGGUUUCCCCAAAAGAAGGGCCUUCAAUUACUAUUUGCCUCAAAAGCCCACUUAAGUAAGACAGAUUCCAGGGAUUGAGAUCAGAACAGAAAAGCACAAAUAAAAGUAAUCCUCCCAUAAAAAGCAAUCAAGUUAGUAACACUUUGUACUGACAACUGCCCAGACAGCCCGGUGAUCAAGAGCAAUGACUUCAUAAAACAUUUCUGCCACUGCUUUCUAACAGCAAAAUCUAGUGAGGUUAAAUACUUUAUGUAUGUAAACAGAACAAAUACAGAUCUGUCCUAUGGUUAAUUUAUUUUUUGGACGUCUCAUCUACUUGAAUUUACCCAUAUUAGAAUAGUUUCAUUUGAAAUCCUUUAUAUUACCUAAGUGCCUUUCUAGCAAUAGUGUGGAACCCUGGAAAACUUUGCUGCCAUUCUAUUAAACAGAUCCACAAUAGCCCACAGUUAUAGUUUUGUAGAUUCAUAUACAAUUAAAAAAAUUCAUAUACAAU